rnacentral:sRNA from 2 species
GGAAAGUGUACCUAGGGUUCCACAAUCUUUUUAGGUUGGUUUGGUCCAAGCGGUACAGGCGUAUUACAGCGCUACACCUAGAGGGAUAAAAGCCCAGGCGGU